rnacentral:rRNA from 1 species
CUGCCCAGUGACCCCAAGUUAAACGGCCGCGGUACCCUAACCGUGCGAAGGUAGCACAAUCACUUGUUCUUUAAAUAAGGACUAGAAUGAACGGCCUCACGAGAGCUAUACUGUCUCCCCUCUCCAAUCAGUGAAACUGAUCUCCUCGUGAAAAAGCGAGGAUACCCCUAUAAGACGAGAAGACCCCAUGAAGCUUUAAACUUGUACCAACCCCCUCUAAACAUACCCAUAAUAGAAAUUAUGACUACAAAUCUUUCGGCUGGGGCGACCACGGAGAAAAACUUAACCUCCAUGAUGAACGGAUAUCCUAAUCAAAGAACCACAAUUCAAAGAAUCAACAAACUGACAUAUUGACCCAAAUAUUUGAUCAACGAACCAAGUUACUCUGGGGAUAACAGCGCAAUCCAUUUCAAGAGCCCCCAUCGACAAAUGGGCUUACGACCUCGAUGUUGGAUCAGGGUAUCCCAGUGGUGCAGCCGCUACUAAAGGUUCGUUUGUUCAACGAUUAAAACCCU